AGGUAAAAAUGCCUAUCUUGCUGC
rnacentral:siRNA from 1 species